rfam:Clostridium sp. CAG:710 genomic scaffold, scf81
GGGGCCGACUGGUUUCGACAGAAAGGAUAGAAUUUAGAUAGCAAGUAGGAAGCAAACCUUAAAUUGCAACAGUUAAAAUAACUGGAAACAAAAUUAAAGAAGCAUUCGCUUCAAUGUUCAAUAAGAACGCUGUAGCUUUUGCCUAAUCUAAUUAGGGAAUGCGCUCUAUAUAGUUCUUUUCCUACGGGAAUUAUCUAGGGCUUAUUUUAGUAGGAUAUAUCUUUGCAAUGUCUAUGUGCCAAGAUGAAAUUUUAUAGACUAGCUAUAUAAUUGGUUGUUAAUUACUUGUUGUAUAGUAAAUUUAGUUAAUUAACUAAACUUGUAGAAGUCUAUCUGUCAUCCUUUUUGGACGGGAGUUCGAUUCUCCCCGGCUCCACCA